GAUGGAGUUUCGCUCUUGUUGCCCAGGCUGGAGUGCAGUGGCACCAUCUUGGCUCACCGUAACCUCCGCCUCCUGGGUUCGAGCGAUUCUCCUGCCUCAGCCUCCCGAGUAGCUGGGAUUACAGGCAUGUGCCACCAUGCCCGGCUAAUUUUGUAUUUUUAGUAGGGAUGGGGUUUCUCCAUGUUGGUUAGGCUGGUCUCAAACCCCUGCCCUCAGGUGAUCCGUCUGCCUCAGCCUCCAAAAGUGCUGGGAUUACAGGCGUGAGCCACCACACCCGGCCUAGCCCCAGGGCUUUCUAACACCCACAUGGACUGUCUGCUGUCUCUUGCUGGCCUCCCAGUCUGUCUCCAGAAUAUGUCAGACUGAGUCCUAGACACCUAGCCUCUGGUACCCUGGCAGCCAACUGCUCCUCUGGUUCACCCCCUGGUGCUCCCUGUAGAGGGAAGCCAUCAGCCUGACUGAGCAGCCCGGAGGCUGGAGUUUUUGGCUGCUUCCUAACCAGCCGCCUUCACGGCCCAGGAGCCUCCCAGCACAGAAGGGAGAAUCUGUGCAGCUUGUUCCUUAUCCUCCUUUGAACCAAGGCCUGUUCCAAGAGGGCCUGUGCCAACUCCAGGGCCUCUCUGCUUGCACGUCAGGGUUGAGCUGCUCCCCCAGGCCCCAUGCACGGAGUUGGCAGCUCCCUGGAAAAAUUUCCUUCCCCCUUUCUUUCUGGCAAAUACGAUGGAUUCCCUGCAUGGCCCCAGACCAUGAGUCUUGAGUUGAGUCCUGCAGGAGCAUCUUGCUGGGUGGCUUCAGCAGGGGCAGGGGUGGAAACCCUGAAGUCCUCCUCUGUCCUGAAAGCCUUUGAUCUUCAUUCUGGCCCGAAGCCCCCGUGCCGUAUUUCCCUCAGCACCAUUGUAACAUCUGGUGACCCAGGCUGUUAGGGCCGAGUGCCUGCUCUUUGGAGGGCAUCUAGUUCAAUGUGAGCAUUUUUUUCUACCCAGCGACCAAUUCUGGAAACAUCAAAGUGUAUGUGAGCCUACUUUUCGUUUCUCCAUUCAAAAUGAAAAUAGCUGUAUUGAUCCCAUGGUGAGGGGUGGGCAGGGUGUGUAUCUUCUUGCUGCUGGGAUGUUCUACUUUGUUGGACAGAAGGCUGUGUGCUUUCUGGCAGGUUACACCUGGGUACAUUUCAGUCAAGCUGAGCUGGCUCUCUCCUCUUUUCAUUCUGAAAGUAGAUCUCUUGCUAAGGGCUUGUUACUGAGUGUCUAGUUCCUUGUUGUACAGGUGAGGGAAACUGAGGCCCAGAGUGGAUGUGACGUUUCUGAAGGAGAGGCUCUGUAAAGUUCUGAGUAGGUGAGACUUAUUAUUAUCCGCAAAUAACAACAACAACAAUAAUUAGAAGAAGAAGCAACUGCUGCCCUAAAGCAUGGGGCUUUUCUUUUUCAGCUGGAUGGUGAAGCUUGGUGGCCUCUCCUUUUAUCUUCAUAGCAGCACAAGCCCUGUGGUGUUUAUAUUUCUCUUUGGCCAGAGAUGUAUUUUGAAAUUUAAAUGAUAAAGCAAACAAGUCCUGUUUUCACUGACGCUUUAGAAACCUUGCAUGAAACCUCUUCACGGUGGUUUUGGGAGCCAAGCAAGGCCAGGUUUUUCUAUAAAUGUGGGGAGAGGGAUGUUGAGGACAGUCCAACCUCAGAGAGUGAAUGAUUGCAUUCAUCUUGAUUAAACUCAGUGAAUCCAUGAAAGGAUGGUGCAGGUCCCCCCGCCCAGGCUCACUCUUCCAUGUGUGUCCUCAUGGCCAAUUUGUCUUUGCUCGAGAUGGAAAGCUGACGAGAUGGACUUUUUUUUUUCCCCUUAAAAAUAAUUACAUGAUGCCCGUUCCAAGUUCUAUGCUCCACCAGUUAAAGAUUUUUGGAUCUUUUGCUGAGAAUGCCUGUUCAGAGGUAAACUUGUUAGCAUCUGAGACAAGCAUAAUAAUAAUGAUUCAGGUCAGGAGCUACAAAGGACUCUGUGAUGAGCAAAAAAUAAUGAUUGAGCCUGGCGCGGUGGCUCACGUCUGUAAUCCCAGCACUUUGGGAAGCUGAGGUCAGGAGUUCGAGACCAGACUGGCCAACAUAGUGAAACCCCAUUUCUACUAAAAAUACAAAAAAUUAGCUGGGUGUGGUGGCAGGUGCCUGUAAUCCCAGCUACUAGGGAGGCUGAGGCAGGAGAAUCACUUGAACCUGGGAGGCAGAGGUUGCAGUGAGCCAAGAUUGCACCAUUGCACUCCAGCCUGGGCAAUAAGAGUGAAACUCCAUCUCAGGGGAAAACAAAUGCAUGUUGUAUAAAAUAAAACCUUAUAUAUAUUCACACACAUAUGUAUAUAUGAGAUGGGGUGGUCCUAGCUACAAAAAUGUACAUGACAGCUAUGGUUUUAAGGCCCCAUUGCCUUUAAGUUUGUUCUCGAAAUGGUUGGUAGCCAGUUCUUCUCUCCUUGGCUUCCCAGAAAUCCUUUCCAACCCAAGAGCUGUCAGAGGUCCUUUAAGUAAGCAAGACUUUCAGGUGUUGUUUCUCUGGACUCCCUCUUUCACAUCUAUUCUAUAAAAAGAGGGUGGCUGCUCAGCCCAAUGUAAAGAAAGCACUUUCUGAAGUUGAAUGAGUUUUACAUUUCAGCUCUGCCAGUGUGGCAGUAUGAACUUGAGAAAGAGACAUCCCCUCUCUGACACUUAAUUUCCCAUCUGUAAAGUGAGAUCCACAAUUUUACCUUUGCGGGUUGGCACAUGGACUGGAGAUAGUAUUGGUAAGAUGCUGUGUUCAUUUCCUAGGGCUGACAUUACAAAUUAGCAGUGGGCUCCUUUCAACAACAGAUAUUUAUUCUCUUGCAGUUCUGGAAGCUAGAAAUCCAAAUUCAGGGUGUCAGGAGGGCCAUGCUCCACAUGAAGGCUCCGAAAAAUAAUCUUUUCUUGUCUCCUCUUGGUUUUGGUGGUUGCUGGCAAUCCCUGGCUUGUGGCUGCAGCAUUCUGCCUCCAUCUUUACAUGGCCUUCUUCCCUCUGUGUGUCUCUGUAUUCUCUCUUCUUCUUGUAAUACUGCCAGUCAUUAGAUCCAGGGCCCACCCUGAUCUAGCAGAAUCUCUUCUUUACUUAACUAAUUACACCUGCAAAGACCCUAUUUCCAAAUAAAGGCUACAUUCUGAGGUUCUGAAUAGACAUGAAUUCUGGGGAGCAAUCAACCCAGUACAGAUGUCUGGCAUUUUAUUGCAGACAACAUCUGGGCAGAUGACAGCAUCUAUAUUUUUAUGAUUGUCAGUUACCAGAGGUAUGGAUAAACAUUUCUUGAAAAAGAUAGGAGCAAGCCUGAUUAUUUGAGGAACAGGAGGGCCAGAUAGCAGAAGUGGAGGGAGAGGUGUGGUUGGCUUGGCAGGUGGAGAGGGGCAGGGAUGGAAGCAAGGAGCUUGCUAUGUGGGGGUGUGGGAGUGGGGUUGGGGAAACCAUAUUGCUUUAUUUCAGGGGAGAGUGGUGUGGCCUGUGUCUUGGUGGUAGCAAAGAAAGUGGAGAGAAAAACGUAGAUUUUACAUUUAUUUGGGCAAUUGUGCCAAUAGGAUUUGCACACAGAUUGGAUAUGGAGGUGAGAAAAUAAGGGAACCAAGAAUGACUCCUACGAGUCAGGCUGGGUAGCUCAUGCCUACUAUAGUCCUAGCACUUUGGGGGGCUGUGAUGGUUAAUACUGAGUGUCAACUUGAUUGGAUUGAAAGAUGCAAAGUGUUGUUUCCAGGUGUGUCUGUGAGGGUGUUGCCAAAGGAGAUUAACAUUUGAGUCAGUGGGCUGGGGAAGGCAGAUCCACCCUUAAGCUGGUGGGCACAAUCUAAUCAGCUGCCAGCGAAUAUAAAGCAGGCAGAAACACAUGAAAAGGCGAGACUGGCCUAGCCUCUCAGCCUACAUCUUUCUCCCAUGCUGGAUGCUUCCUGCCCUCAGACAUUGGACUCCAAGUUCUUCAGUUUUGAGACUUGGACUGGCUCUCCUUGCCCCUCAAGCUUGCAGACAGCCUAUUGUGGGACCUUGUGAUCGUGUAAGUUAAUACUUAAUAAACUCCUCUUUAUAGACAUACAUAUGUGUGUGUGUAUGUAUAUAUCUAUAUCUAUAUCUAUAUCUGUAUCUAUAUCUAUAUCUAUCUAUCUAUCUAUCUAUCUAUAUAUAUAUAUAUCUCCUAUUAGUUCUGUCCCUCCAGGGAACCCUGACUAAUACAGAGGCUGAGGCAGGAGGGCCAUUUGAGGCCAGGAGUUCAAGACCAGUCUGGACAACUUAGAGAGACCCUGUCUCUACAAAAAAUUAAAAAAAAAAAAAAAAAGGAAUGACUCCUAGGUUUUUGGUAUCAGCAACCUGGCAGAUGCUGGUGUCUUCAAUGGACAUGGGGAAGAUGGGCAGUAGAUUGUGGGCGCAGAGAGUUCUGUGCAGGCAUGUUAAAUUGCAGAUGCCCAUUAAUGGCCACAGGAGAUGCCAACUAGGUACUUGGCAAAGUGAGUCUGGGAAUUGAGACCAUCAUGGUAGGAGAUAGCAUUUGGAAGACUUUGGCAGAGGUGGGAUCCAAAUCCACGGGACUGGAGUAUAGAUAGAAAAGUGGACACAGGACUAGACAUGGCCACUAGUGGUAGGGGUAGAAGUUGGGGAGCUGGAAAAGGUGAUUACAAGGAGCCACUGGUGAGGCAGAAAAACAUACCGGGAGCCUAGAGAAGGAAGACCUUCUUAAGGAAGGAGGAGAGUCAUCACUUGCAGUGUUGCCAAGAGGUCAGGUAGAAUGAGUCACACAGAAGUGACUGUUAGAUUUGGCAUCAAGGAGGUUGUUGACCAACUUGGCAAGAGUGCCUCAUGGGAGCAAUCAAGAGGAAGCCAGUGACCAAUGGAGGUGACUGCUCUUGCGUUCUGCUCUCUCUUCAUUGCCUUUUGCUCUUUGCUUAGGCAAAUCAGUGUCCUCAGUAGGUUUCCUGAAGGCUAAUGUCAGCAUUAGUAUUUACCUACCCAUUAGCUCAUUUGAUUCUCAAACAACAUCUUUGCAGAAAAGGCUGGGCAGGGCAGGCAGGUAUAUUCCCAUUUUACAGCUGAGAAAGCCACAACUUAAAAACCUCAAGUGUUUUUUUUUUUUUCAGGCUGUUUCUAAGAGUUAUGUGUCAGGCACCCCUCCUCCACCCCCAUCUUGGCAUAUAUCCCAGUGUUUUGUGGUUUGUUACAUUUUUUGGUUUUCUUAGCUAGAUUAUGAGCCCAGUGAAGAGAGGAUCUGAAUGACAUCUCUAUAUUCCCACACAGAGAUACCAAAUGCUUGCCACACUUGUUACUUUCUCUUGGGUACCCAUGGCAGGCAUCACUAGCUGAUCAUGACCUUCUCUUCCUUUGAGCCCAGACUCAGCUUAGAAUUCUACCGAGCAUUCCAGAUAGCCUGUCAACCUGCUGACAGAUAAGGUAUCAUCAACAGACGUUUUUACUGUAGUACUUAAUGUCAUGCCUGGUUCGGCAAGUGAUUUUGUGAGUGAUUUAGCAAAUGAGCAUUCUCUGAAAACACGAGUGAGUUCUAUGUCACUAGAGGUAAUCAAGAAGAUCAAAGGAGAUCAAAUUCAUGCACACGGCCGGGUGCGGUGGCUCACGCCUGUAAUCCCAGCACUUUGGGAGGCUAAGGUGGGUGGAUCACGAGGUCAGGAGAUCGAGACCAUCCUGGCUAACAUGGUGAAACCCCAUCUCUACUAAAAAUACAAAAAAUUAGCCGGGUGUGGUGGCAGGCGCCUGUAGUGCCAGCUACUCGGAAGGCUGAGGAAGGAGAAUGGUGUGAACCCGGGAGGCGGAGCUUGCAGUGAGCUGAGAUCGCACCACUGCACUCCAGCCUGGGCAACAGAGCGAGACCCUGUCUCAAAAGAAAAAAAAUUCUUGCACAAUUGGGUAAGGUAAAUAGAAUUCAGAUACUGGAUAAAAGGUUAUCCAAGUCUGAGAUUAUUUGACAUUCAUGGAGUUAUUUAAUGAACAGUAGUGUCUCUUACCAUUCUGGAACAAAACAAGAAACCUUUGAGAGGAAUCUCCCCCCACCUCCCCAGAUAUAUAGGAGGGGGCGAUGGGCAACACUAUUAUGGCUCCUUUCUUGUCUUGGCCACUUGGGGCUCUGGUCUCAGCCUUUCUGGAUUGCCUUAGAUGAUGGGUGUCACCUAGGUUGAGAGGAAUGAAGAGAAAAUGGAAUGUUUUAGGGUCUGCAAGGGGAGGUCUGACCCCAAGGCCUGUGAAGUGAGGGUUUUUUUUUUUUUUUUUUAAUGGCCUGUGCACAUCAAAUCCUGGCUCUGUUACUUGCUGGUCACACAUAAUCUGUUGGGCCCUACUGAGCCAAAGGGAGUAGACAGAAUAGUACUGUUCCAGGUUGUUGAGGGAUUCGGUGAGAUUCCCUAGGUAGGUUUUGGUCAACAAGCAGGCAUUUCAUAAUCGUCUCUACCUCCUGCCCUGCCCCCGGGACUGUGGGGAUUGUCUGCAUUCCUCUGUGGAACUGGAAUGUGGCUGCAGUGAUGGUGUCUGCAGGGAUGCUGAAGCUGCUCCUCUCUCCUGCCCACUAGCCUGGCCUUGCCCAGUCCUAGCCGGGGUAAGUGAACAUCAGUCCCACGGACAGAGUCUUCUCUGAAAACUGCUUUAUGGACUUUUUUUUUUUUUUUCCCAGACAGGGUCUUGCUCUGUUGCCCAGGCUGGAGUGCAGUGGCACAAUCUCACUGCAACCUCAGCUUCCUGGACUCAAGUAAUCCUCCCACCUCAGCCACCCGAGUAGUUGGGACUACACGUGCAUGCUAUGAUGCCCAGCUAAUUUUUGUAUCUUUAGUAGAGACAGGGUUUCACCAUGUUGCCCAGGCUGGUCUUGAACUCCUGGACUCAAGCGAUCCACCUGCCUCAGCCUCCCAGAGUGCUGGGAUUACAAGCCUGCCUUAUGGAUCUUAAUAUCUCGGCCCAACGGCAUUGGCUCUGCCUGGCUCCAGAGGGAUAUGAAGCCAUUCCUGGGGGACACCAUUGUUUUCUAGUUAAUAUUAUCAGUCCUGUAGUCCAGUGAUUUUCAAAUUUUAGUGUAGUCAGAAUCCCCAAAAGGGCUUGUUGAAACCCAGACAGCUGGACCCCUCCCUAGAAACUUAGAAUAAGGCCUGAUAAUUGGCUCUAACAAGCUCACAGGUAAUACUGAAGUUGAGGACCUUGUAUCUCACUUUAAGCAAAGUCUUCCCACAGCAACUAUUGUUCCUCCCUGCCCAUAGGUAAUAUCUUCUACUUGGGCCCUUUGCUUCCACUGUGGCCUGCUUACAACCUCACCUACACUUAUUAACUAGCAGAGUUCAUUGAGUGUCCUUAAAACCUUAAACUUCAAACUAUACCACAAGGCUACAGUAACCAAAACAGCAUGGUACUAGUACCAAAACAGAUAUAUAGACCAAUGGAACAGAAUGGAGGCCUCAGAAGUAACACCACACAUAUACAACCAUCUGAUCUUUGACAAACCUGACAAAAACAAGCAAUGGGGAAAUAAUUCCCUAUUUAAUAAUGGUGUCAGGAAAACUGGCUAGCCAUAUGCAGAAAACUGAAACUGGACCCCUUCCUUAUACCUUAUACAAAAAUUAACUCAAGAUGGAUUAAAGACUUAAACAUAAGACCUAAAACCAUAAAAACCCUAGAUGAAAACCUAGGCAAAACCAUUCAGGACAUAGGCAUGGGCAAAGACUUCAUGACUAAAACACGAAAAGCAAUUUCA